rnacentral:rRNA from 1 species
UGUGUAGGUGGUGCUCUAAGUCUGUCGUGAAAUCCCCCGGCUUAACUGGGAGGGUGCGGCGGAAACUGGGGCGCUCGAGUAUGGGAGAGGAAAGCGGAAUUCCUGGUGUAGCGGUGAAAUGCGUAGAUAUCAGGAGGAACACCUGUGGUGUAGACAGCUUUCUGGACCAUUACUGGCACUGAGACACGAAAGCGUGGUAGCAAACA